AAAAAACUAACUACUAUUAAGUGUUCUAUUCCCUGUGAAGUUUUUGGAAGUGAAGCACACUAAAUAGUUCAUUUUUUAUGUAACAGGCAAUCUUGCAAGCUACCAAUUCCAAACAGUGACAGAUUGCUCUGCUACAAAACUAUGACCUUAGCAUUCCAACGUGCUACUCUGUUGCUCUUUUUAGAGGAAAAAUGCUAACCAAGAGGAAGUACACCAACGAAGUGAAUUCUUGGAAUCAUUACACCACUGUCCAAUUCGACUACCCUUUGCCCUAGUCAUAAGAAUCAGUUUUAUUGUGGUAAAUGCAUCAUGUUGCUCUUUGUUUGGUUUCCAAUGAGUAACCACUACCAAUCAACACACACAGACAUGGACAUCAAAACCAAUCCCUUUUGGGCUGCCAAGCUUUCAAGUUCUUCAGCCGAAAUUACCAGCCCUUCAACUUUUGCAGUCUUCGAACAACAGGCUUAAAACUAUGCCAUCGUCUUCAUUCUCACGCAAAAUUGAAACAAAAAUUCUAAGUUUUGCCCGUUCUUCGCUCCUUCAUACGUCGUCACCAGGCUUUUCGCCCUGUCCGUCGCCCAGUCUUCGCCUCGCCCGUCGCCCCGUCUUCGCCUCGCCCGUUGCCCCGUCUUCGCCUCGCCCGUCGCCCCGUCUUCGCCUCGCCCGUCGCCCCGUCUUCGCCUCGCCCAUCGCCCCAUCUUCGCCUCGCCCGUCGCCCCAUCUUCGUCUCGCCCGUCAUCCUGUCGUCGCCGCGUCCGUUGCCCCUUGGUCAUCUUAUCUGUGUGGUAUGGUUAUGUUUUGUAAUGUAUGUAAUGUAUAAUGUAAACUAACCCGUUGGCUGCCACCCACCUUUUAUCCCCUUUUUUUUUUAGCUUGACAGGGACGGGCCGCGCUGUUCUGCUCCAUGGUCUAUCUGCCAUGGGGUGGAGCAGCGCCACUGCCCAAGAUUGGCCGAAAGGCCUGUAGGCAAUGCACCACAGGGAUUCCCUUGAUCGAUGCGCUUGAUGAGACCUGGGGUGUGCAUUCCCGUAAAGGUCUCAUCAUCGUGUCAGCCCGGCCCCCCUGGCCCCCUUUAUCGCUAUCCCUAAGAUAGCGAUGUAGCGACUGUAGUUAAGAUGGCGUGGCAGCCAACGGGUUAGUUUUAAGUGUAU